UGCUCUCCCUCCCCUGAUCACCCUCCCGCCAUGCCUCCACUGACACCGCACCGCAACCAUUUCUUUCUUCUUCAGUUCUUCUCCCAUCUAUAAACCCUCCCGUUUCGGGCUAGAACCCUAGAACCCCCCCAACCCUGGCCACCCACCCUCGGGACGGGAGCUGCAGAGCCGGGGAGCUUCGAACGCCGGGACCCUCCUCGCUCGGGCGGCCGACCUAGGGUUUCGUUCCCCCGGCCGGGCCGCCGCAUCCGUCACCGUCCGUCCUACUCCGCCGCAGUUGCAGUACUUGACAGGGUAUUAGGCUAUUAGCUGCCUUUGUGUGCGAUGGAAGAUAUACCAAGGGGCAGUGGACACUCAACAAAUGGCACUGAGCCUGAGCUGGAACCUAUGAUACUGGAUGACGAUGGGGAGAGCAGAUCCCGUACCAUUGAUGAUUCAAAUGAGCAGUCUUCUAUGGGUAUUGACAGCGAUCGGUCUUCCAUGGAUGUGGAUAUGAAGGGGAAAUCAUCCCUGGAUGGUGACGGCAAAGGAAAGUAUUCUUCCGAGUCACAUGAAGAAUUUCCAAUUGACAUGAGCUUGACAAGUCUAGAGAAGUUUUGCAAGGAAGCAUCUAGGUCAUUUUUUGAUGAAAUUGGUCUCAUUAGCCACCAGAUAAAUUCCUAUAACGAUUUCAUCUCGCAUGGGCUCCAGGAGCUUUUUGAUUCGCUAGGCGAAGUGACUGUUGAGCCUAGCUAUGACCCUUCAAAGAAAGGACCAGGUGGUUGGAGGCAUGCCAUCAUCAAGUUUGGGAAAGUGAAACUACAAGAGCCUGUAUUCUGGUCUGACAAAUGUGAGGACAAAUAUGAGGAGGCACUCAAGCUCAAACCAAGACACGCUCGCCUCCAGAAUAUGACAUAUUCCUCCAAAAUGGAAGUAGAAAUGAAUAUUCAGGUUUAUUCUAUGGAGAAAAGUGAUAAGGCUAAAACAGAGAAUGAUCAUUUUGGGCACAAGAGGGAUAUCAUUAAUGAAACCCAUUGGGUGUCUGUUGGCCGCCUUCCAGUUAUGGUCAAUUCAAAUUUAUGCUGGCUGCAUAAACUUGGGGAAAGUGACUGCCUUUUUGAUUCUGGUGGAUACUUUCUGAUCAAGGGAAUGGAGAAGAUAUUUAUCGCGCAAGAGCAAAGAUGCUUGACCAGGAUUUGGGUUGAUGAUCGGCCUUGCUGGACUGUCUCUUAUAUGUCUGAAAUCAAACGAAAACGCACAUAUGUAAAACUAAUUGAUUCUACAAAGAGCAAUGAUUUCAGUGAGAGCAAAAUCAUCUCCAUUUCCUUUUUGUAUGCCAACAUGCCAGUUUGGUUAAUGUUUUUUGCGCUAGGCAUAUCAUCUGAUAAGGAGGUAUUUGAUAUAAUUGAUUUCAAAGACUCUGAUGCUUCUGUUAUCAACAUGAUAUCUGCAACUAUUAGUGAAUCUAAUGAACUGUGUGAAGGCUUCCGUAAGUCCGAUAAAGCCCGCCAAUAUGUUGAUGAUUUGGUCAAGAGUUCAAAAUUUCCUCCAGCAGAGUCAUUUGAUGAUUAUGUUGCUAGGUUUCUCUUUCCUGGUAUAAGUGGGAAUAGGAAUAAAGCAUUUUUCUUAGGUUACAUGGUCAAAUACCUUCUAAUGGCUUUUACUGGGAAGCUCAAAUGUGAUAAUAGGGAUGCUUUCCGGAACAAGAGGUUGGAGCUACCUGGUGAAUUGCUUGGAAGAGAACUUCGGGCACAUCUUAGGCAUGCAGAGAGACUCAUGGUUAAGGCCAUGCAGAGAGAUCUGAAUAGUGACCGCGAUUUACAGUUUCCUCUGGGCUAUCUUGAUCCUACAAUUAUCACUAAUGGUAUAAAUCGUGCCUUCGCUACUGGUUCUUGGUGUCAUCCCUACAAAAGAAAUGAAAGAUGCUCAGGAGUUGUUGCAACGCUAAGGAGAACAAAUCCUCUUCAAAUGAUGUCAGACUUGAGGAAAAGUCGUCAGCAAGUUGCUUAUGCUGGGAAAGCUGGUGAUGCAAGAUAUCCCAAUCCAUCCUACUGGGGAAAAAUGUGUUUUAUGUCCACACCUGAUGGCGAAAACUGUGGACUUGUGAAAAAUCUGGCUGUUACUGCUAUUGUUAGCUCAAGAGUGGUACAACCAUUGAUUGACAGAUUUGUUUCUUGUGGAAUGAAUAAACUCGAUGAAAUUCCUGCUGGACAGAUUCCUAAAAUGGACAAAAUCUUCCUGAAUGGCAAUUGGGUAGGAUCCUGUACUGAUCCAGCUUCAUUUGUCAUGCGUUUAAGGUGCAUGAGACGUGGCAAUCUGAUUGAUCCACAGGUUGAAAUCAAAAGGGACAAGCACCAAAUUCCUGGGGAAGUACGAGUGUUUUCUGAUGCAGGGCGAAUCCUCAGACCUCUUCUUGUGGUUGAGAACCUAAAUAAAAUUAGAAAACCGAAGGAUGGUUCAUACUCUUUUCAGGCACUAAUGCAACAAGAAAUAAUUGAGUACAUUGGUGUUGAAGAGGAGGAAGACAUACUAUGUGCCUGGGGAAUCAGGCACCUAUUUCCGGGCAGUGGAGAGGACUUUUCUGGUUAUACUCACUGUGAGCUAGAUCUUUCUUUUCUGCUGGGAUUAAGUUGUAGUCUUAUCCCUUUUGCAAAUCACAAUUUUGCUCGAAGGGUACUGUACCAGUCAGAAAAACACUCACAGCAAGCUAUUGGAUACUCCACAACAAAUCAACUUACCAGAGUCGAUACUCUUUCCCAUCAACUUUACUACCCUCAGAGACCCCUUUUCAAAACAGUUACAGCUGAUUGUAUUGGUAGAUCUGAUUAUACUAUUGGAAGAACAGAUGAUUUUGCUAGGCCAGAAUAUUUCAAUGGACAAAAUGCGAUUGUGGCCGUCAAUGUUCAUCAGGGAUUUAACCAAGAGGACUCUCUGGUUAUGAAUAGAGCUUCUCUUGAACGGGGUAUGUUUAGAACAGAACUCAUCAGGAGCUAUAAGGCAGAUGUAGAGACCAAAGAGCCCGCCAAACGAUUGAAACUGAAGGAAAAGGUAGACUUUGGUAAAAUGCAAAGCAAGAGAGGGCGGGUUGACAGUCUUGACGAUGAUGGAUUACCGUACGUGGGUGCAAGUCUUCAGAGUGGUGAUAUCGUCAUUGGGAAAGUGUCGGAAUCUGGUGAAGACCAUAGUAUCAAGCUGAAGCAUACUGAAAAGGGAAUGGUCCAGAGAGUGCUGCUCUCAGCCAAUGACGAGGAGAAGAAUUUUGCUGUUGUAACUUUAAGACAGGUUCGGUCUCCUUGCGUUGGAGAUAAAUUUUCUAGCAUGCAUGGCCAGAAAGGUGUUAUUGGUUUUCUAGAAUCCCAGGAGAACUUCCCUUUUACUUGCCAAGGAAUAGUUCCAGAUAUUGUGAUAAACCCACAUGCCUUUCCUACCCGUCAAACUCCGGGCCAGCUGCUUGAAGCUGCUUUGGGGAAGGGAAUCGCUCUUGGUAGUGCAAUGAGAUAUGCAACACCGUUCACCACAGCAUCACUUGAAGUGAUCUCGGAGCAAUUGCAUAAAGCUGGAUUUUCAGGAGGCGGUACUGAAAGUGUUCUGAAUGGCCAAACUGGCGAAAGGAUGCACUCAUUGAUUUUCAUGGGUCCCAACUUUUACCAGAGGUUGACGCACAUGGCUGAAGACAAGGUAAAAUUCAGGAAUACUGGGCCAGUGCACCCUCUCACAAGGCAACCUGUGGCAGACAGGAAAAGGUUUGGAGGAGUGAAGUUUGGAGAAAUGGAGCGUGACUGCCUCCUUGCCCAUGGGGCAGCUGCCAACCUCCAUGAGCGGCUCUUCAUGCUUAGUGACUUUGCACAGAUGCACAUCUGCCAAACAUGUCAGCGGGCUGCAAACGUUGUCAUGAGGGCUAUCCCUGGAGGAAAGAAGAUCCGAGGCCCAUACUGCGGAUUCUGCCGGUCUUCAGAGAAUAAAGUUAGGAUCGCCGUGCCCUACGGUGCAAAGCUGCUCUACCAGGAGCUCUUCAGCAUGGGGAUCUGCCUCAAGUUCAAGACAGAAGUCUGCUAGACUUCCGUCAUCGAAUUGUGAUGUAUAUAUAGGUUACCAAUGGCUAUCCUCAUGUAAUGUACAAAACCCCUUCUGACGGUGGUGUUUAUAUCAGCGCGAGUGCCGACACUUUCUUCUGUAUAAUGAGUCAUAAACAAUGAUGCAAAAGGUAAAUAAUUCCGGAGGGUCUUGCAGGCUAUAAAUACACACCUUACAGAGAUACUCUAUCCAAGGCAAGUGAUAUUCAUGAAGGAAGAAAAAUGAGGAUAUACAUUCUUCAAAUGCUAGUUACCCUCCAUAAAAAAGUCAUGCCAAUGAAUCUGAUAGCCUCAAGUUGCUGUUCAUGGGACACAUUUGUUUUGAAUCAAUCACUGGAUAAUCUAAUGUUCCUUAUAGUGCUUCAAGGAUAUGUAUAAUGAAAAAUCUGCUUCCAUGUUUUGCGUGGCUGAGGCGAGAUUUGCUGGAUGCCUAUAACUAAUCUUUUUUUCUGAAUGAGACCAUGAGUGUAUUAAUGUUAGCAGUAAAGGUUCACAUAUUAAUGUA